rnacentral:tRNA from 1 species
GGAGGUGUAACUCAGCGGUAGAGUACAUGUUUAGCAAGCAUGAAUUGUUGGACUCAGUUUCACUCACCUCCU